AUCUAAUUUAGUAGUUUUUGUAUGAUAAAAUCCGUGUAAUUCGGUGCAGCAGCAGCUUUAACCCAUUCAUUUUAAAAUUAACCCUAAAAAUGCUCUGCAGUCUUAAAAACAUAAUUUUAAAUAUCUAAUAAAGUAAGCAGUCUUUCGAAAAUUUGUCAGGUCCAAGACUAUAUAACCAAAAUAACGGAGGCAACGAAAAUACUUUAUGUACAAAACCGGUCUCGGUAUCUACUUAUCUACUAAGUUGCUAUCACGUCGACGUCGAUUUGAGGGGCUUCCUCCUGUGUUUUUGCCCAACGAUCUUCUGAUUUUCCGGGAACAGGCUGGGGCCUAACGCUUCUCGGGAUUUUGGGCUCAGCGACGGGAUCGGGAGAGCUUUUGUUGGUUUGUACUCUUUUUCAACGACCCAUUCGUCUGGAGCACUAAAAUUAAGAAGCAUGGUAUUAUAUACUAAAAAGAAGAUGAUUUUAUACAUAAAGGGAAGCCAUCGACGAUACAUCGAAACGGUUUGGUCCCGGCAUGUGCCAACACGUGCCUCUCCAGCCAGGAGAUUGAGCACGACGUCCUUCCAUGCACCUUGCAGCCUCUCCACAAGCACAAAUACUGUUCCUUAUUCUCUUGGGAUUGAGAUAUCACAUGUUUUACCUUAAAUUGAAAAAAAAUGCAUUUUUCAUUUCUAGAAUACUGGUAAACAAAAAAUUUUUUUUAGUUUUAUAUAUUUUGUUAAUUGCAAAAA